rnacentral:sRNA from 1 species
UCUCGAACUUAUGAAAUUCCUUCCAGCGAAUCUAUAGCUUUAGCACUCUGAACACCAAGUUGUGUUUAAUUUGAAAAUAAGCUCAGAAAGUUGAAGAUUUUGUGAAUUAUCCAAGUCCCCUUAUAGGUGACUCAUCCAUUUUUGGACGAUGAUGGAGGGAAUUCAGAGUCAUUCCAGUGCCUUCUCUUUUAAUGUAUACAGAGGCUUUGCUUGUUGUAACUUGUAACAAAUGUUGGUUGCUUGGUUCUUCUCGUGAGAUGCCUAUCUGAUAAGGCUAUCAAGGUGUAUGUUACAAACAGAUUUCAAAAGUAGAAGUUAUAAAACAAGUUAGCAAUAGUUAGGCAGUUUAUAAGUGGUUAGUGAAAGUUAUUAAGUAUAAUAGGGGUUAUCUUUUAAGGAGGAAAUUCUCCCUGCGGGCUGGGUGUGUAUUUUCAUUCUAGAACAAGGUUUGUUCUGUGUAGAAAGGAUUUCCUUAAUUCUUUUGAAAGUUGUUAAAUGUUUUCUGGAUUAUGUAUUUCUUAAUUAGAGCAUUAUCUUACAUUGUGCACUAAGAUUUGUGUGUUAAUUUUUUAACUGAAUUUGAAAUCUGGUUUUUUUAUUUCUAAACAAUUUAACAAUUUGGUUUGACCUACCAAAUCAAAAACACCAAAAGAAUCAGAGAGUAGAGUAAGCAUAGUAGAGAAGACAAUUGAGGAAACGAGGGAGAAAUCUAGAACCAACUUUCAAAGGCUCAAUGAUAUGCUGGAGAAUGUUAUGCGUAGACUUGAGAAUAUUGAAAAGGGGUCUGAAGAUAGCAAAGGUUUUGCAAAUGAGGAUAAAGUAGGAAGAAGAGAAGAUAUUGAUGACGAAUAGGAGGAAGACAAAAGGGAAUACUAGCAUGGGUGGAUGAAAAAAGUGGAACUUCCUUAGUUUGAGCGAGGGGAUCCAAUUCGGGUGGAUAUCUAGGUUUGAAGUUUUCAUUUGAAGUUGAG